CUGCCUGGACACCGCACAUUGUGGAAAGGGUGCAUUGUUGAAGGAGUGAAGACUUUGUGUCCGUCAAGAACUGGUCUCUGUCUCAAGACUUCAGGUCUCUGAGAAUUGGAAGAGUGCCAAUUUCUCCAAGUUGGAGCUGUUGGAUUGGAUUGGAAUCAAU